rnacentral:ncRNA from 1 species
UAAACAAUAGGUUUGGUCCUGGCCUUUUUACUAGUUGUUUGCAGGGUUAUACAUACAAAAAUCCCUAUGCCCUCUGUGAGAAUGCCCUCUGUGCUACAUCCAGGUUAAAAGGAGCAGGUAUCAAGCACACUACAAAGUAGCUCACAACGCCUUGCUUUGCCACACCCCACAGGAAACAGCAGUAAUAAAAAUUAAGCAAUAAACGAAAGUUUGACUAAGUCACGCAACUAUUAGGGUUGAUAAAUUUCGUGCCAGCCACUGUGGUCAUACGAUUAACCCAAAUUAAUAAAAUCUGGCGUAAAAAUUUUUAGAAAUAUAAAAAAUAAGACUAAGCUUUAUCCAAGUCAUAGAAAACUCCAGAUAAAGUAUAAACCAAAAACGAAAGUAAUCUUAGUAAGUCUGAACACACGAAAGCUAAGGCCCAAACUGGGAGUAGAUACCCUACUAUGCUUAACCGUAAACAUAAAAACUUGCAUAACAGGGGCUGGGGAUUUGGUUCAGCGGCAUAAGCGCCUGCCUUGCAAGCGUGUGGUCAUGACUUCGAUCCCUGGUACCGGUAAAAACACAAAAAAAUUUAAAAAAAAAAACUUGCAUAACAAAAGUUUUCGCCUGAGAACUAUUAGCAAUAGCUUAAAACUCAAAGGACUUGGUGGUGCUUUAUAACCACCUAGAGGAGCCUGUUCUAUAAUCGAUAAACCCCGAUACACCUCACCACCCCUUGCUAAUUCAGCCUAUAUACCAUACCACCAUCUUCAGCAAACCCAAUUAUGGAAACAAAGUAAGCACAAGUAUAUUACAUAAAAAUGUAGGUCAAGGUGUAGCCAAUGGAGAGGGAAGAAAUGGGUUACAUUUUCUUACUGAAGAACAGCAGUCGCAAGUCUUUAUGAAAUUUAAGCACCUAAGGAGGAUUUAGUAGUAAACCAAUAAUAGAGAGCUUGGUUGAACUAGGCCAUGAAGCACGUACACACACCUGUCACCCUCCUCAAGUACCCAAAAAUUUUCAAUACAAAACUAAUAUAUAUAAGAGGAGACAAGUUGUAACAAGGUAAGCAUACUGCAAAGUGUGCUUGGAAACAAAGUGUA